rnacentral:rRNA from 1 species
ACGUAGGUGGCGAGCGUUGUCCGGAUUUACUGGGUGUAAAGGGCGAGUAGGCGGGAUUGCAAGUCAGAUGUGAAAUCUGUCGGCUUAACUGACAGCGUGCAUUUGAAACUGCUGGUCUUGAGUGUUGGAAAGGCAGGCGGAAUGUGUAAUGUAGCGGUGAAAUGCGUAGAUAUUAGGAGGAACACCAGUGGCGUAGGCAGCCUACUGGGCAGUCACUGACGCUGAGGCGCGAAAGCGUGGGGAGCGAACAG